UACGUAGGGUGCGAGCGUUAAUCGGAAUUACUGGGCGUAAAGCGUGCGCAGGCGGUUGUGUAAGACAGAUGUGAAAUCCCCGGGCUCAACCUGGGAACUGCAUCUGUGACUGCAUUGCUGGAGUGCGGCAGAGGGGGAUGGAAUUCCGCGUGUAGCAGUGAAAUGCGUAGAUAUGCGGAGGAACACCGAUGGCGAAGGCAAUCCCCUGGGCCUGCACUGACGCUCAUGCACGAAAGCGUGGGGAGCAAACAGG
rnacentral:rRNA from 1 species